GGAUUAGAUACCCUGGUAGUCCACGCCGUAAACGAUGGGUACUAGGCUUGGUGGGUCUUGACCCCUGCCGAGCCGGCGCUAACGCAAUAAGUACCCCGCCUGGGAAGUACGGUCGCAAGACUAAAACUCAAAGGAAUUGACGGGGGCCCGCACAAGCAGUGGAUCAUGUGGUUUAAUUCGAAGCAACGCGCAAAACCUUACCUGGAUUUGACAUCCUUGGACAACUGCAGAAAUGCAGCUUUCGUAGCAAUACGACCGAGAGACAGGUGUUGCAUGGCUGUCGUCAGCUCGUGCCG
rnacentral:rRNA from 1 species